ACCAGUUUGGCUCAGUGGCUAGAGCGUCGGCCUGUGGACUGAAGAGUCACAGGUUCGAUUCCUGUCAAGGGCA
rnacentral:tRNA from 1 species